rnacentral:tRNA from 3 species
UCCCCGGUAGCUCAGUGGUAGAGCAAUCGGCUGUUAACCGAUUGGUCGCUGGUUCGAAUCCGGCCCGGGGAG